AAGAGCCCACCUCUUAAAACACAUGUCGUCCUGGAACAGCGGAGAAAGAAAGGCAAAGCAAAAGAAACAAAGAGCUUCAAAGUUCCUUUGAUUCUCUCAGAAUGUGACGAUGGAUGGUCAAUCCAAGGUAAAAGUCACGCUUAGGCUGGGUUCUGAAUUAUACACAGUGAAUUCCAAAGCGGUUGGUGGCGUCUCUGAGCAGCUGUCUUAUGUGAAAGAAGAAAGUAUGGGCAUAUUGAAGGAAUUUAUUACGGAACACAACGUUCCAACUGAUGUUCCUGAUGAAUUGCUGGAAGGCUCUUCUGACAACGAGGAAGAAGUAGAGAAAGAGGAAGAUGAAGUGUCCGGGAAGUCCAAGGCCAAGCCCAAAAAACCUAAGAUAAAUUAGUACUUUGGAAAUAA